rnacentral:rRNA from 1 species
UACGUAGGGUGCAAGCGUUAAUCGGAAUUACUGGGCGUAAAGAGCGCGCAGGCGGUCGUUCAAGUCGCGUGUGAAAGCCCCCGGCUCAACUGGGGAGGGUCACGCGAUACUGAUCGACUCGAAGGCAGGAGAGGGUAGUGGAAUUCCCGGUGUAGUGGUGAAAUGCGUAGAUAUCGGGAGGAACACCAGUGGCGAAGGCGACUACCUGGCCUGUUCUUGACGCUGAGGCGCGAAAGCUAAGGGGAGCAAACGGGG